GUACUGCUGAAGAGUCCCAAACUAGGGCGCAGCAGCUGUCCAGUAC
rnacentral:hammerhead_ribozyme from 1 species